CUAGGUGGCAGUGUCUGAUUACAUCUGGAAGGACCACGCCAGCAAGCCUGGUGUCUCCAGCUGUGACCUCCAGCGCCAGGAUGAACGCCCUGACUCUGCAGCUCCCUGGAGAGGUAGCACCACCGUUCGCAUCUCCGUCUACACCGUUCACCUCAGCGGCUUCCAGGAGCUCUACAGGCAAUUCCUCAGGCUACCUGAUGGGGCUAUCGUUGAGGCAUUUGGCGAUAUUACUGGAGAAAGUCUUUUGUGUAAUGAAAUGAGCACAGCCCAGGAGCGCAGAAGCGAAAUGGACAGCGUGCUGCAUACAUCUUCACGUAUCGAGCUGAGAGAGAGGAAAAAGAGUACGGCAAGGUGGAAAGGAAAUGACGUUGUCUCCGACAAGAGCUAAUUCCUGCAGUAAUGCAUAGUCCACAGAGUUGUUUACAUCCUGAUCCACACCCAUGGUAUGGUUACUGUCUGACAGGAUUUAUGGUUGUGAUGUCCACACCUCUGUGCGUACAGUGUUGUCCUGCAAAUGCUCCAUUCAUAGGUCUUCUGUGGCUUCAACAAGCUUUUCAGUGCGGUGAGCUCACUGGAUCAGAUCACAGAUCGGAUCAAGCAAAUAUAAUUAUUCCAUAAGAUUUUUUUUUCCUUCCAAAUAGUGGGACAUUCUUAGAUUUCUCAGGUUUGCUUUUUCCUGCUUUUCCAGGUUUGCUUUUACCUGCUGGUGGUGGGGAAAAAGUUGCUGAUUUGUCUUUCAAGUUUCAUGACUAAAAUGUUGACAAUGUUUUCAGUAAUUGUUCAAAGCACAACACUAUUGUAAUUGCAAGGCUGCAAAGAUGCCCAGAAGAGGAACAAUGAUGGCUUCAUGCCACCAGUUUUGUAGCCAAGUCCCAACAGGCCGCAAAAUUUACAAGAUCCCAGAGAGGAUCAUUUUGCUGAGAUCUUAACGUUGGUCCGACCUGCUUCCCUGGGAGCUACAGCUUAAAGCAACCUGGAGGUUAUCCUCGUGCUUUCUUAGGAGUAUUAAAGUAUUGCUCAUUAGUUUGAACCAGUCCUAUUCUAUUUGGCUAUUCUAUUCUAUCUGGUGCCUAUUCUAUUUGGCUUCAUACAAAUGCAUAGGAACUGAAGUCCAUGCCCCAAAGGCAAGGACUACAAGAGACAACAUAAGGAGAAAGUGGGAAGGGGAACAAAGGCAAGAAAGGUGAAGUCAUUUGUCCAAGAUCACCAAAGUCAGAGGCAAAUGCAGAAAUGAAGGGCAUACUGCCAGCGCCCUGACUCUUGGUCUUCCCUGUAUUAGGAUUCUUUUUGUCCUGAAAAUGCAGAUGAAAAAGGGAAAAGUCUUACCUUCCUGGUAUUUUGAAUCAUUCAUGUAGAACACUUGUAACCAAUUAACAGUAAUCAGUGGCAUUUUUCUAAUACAUAUGCUUUUCUGGUGUCCCUUUGUUCACACUGGUACAGUAAAACUUUUUCAGAUGCAUUUACCUUUGCAAGACCUUUCCCAGUGUCUGAACAUUGUUGAUUGAUUUCGAUAGUUGAAUCUAUGGUUCUCAUCCAUCUGAAUAAUUGUUAAAUGACAUUAGGUAGUAACCUGGAGGUUUAGAUAUCACUCCUUAAAAAAGUUUUUCUUUGGGUUUGCAAGAUAACUAUUUGGUCUCCACUUUUCUUUUAAUCGAUUUAUAUGUAUGUGCAUAUGGGUGCGUUUGUAUGUGUUUUACCCAGAAAGAAAGGGUGUUAAAAAUCUUCUGAAUAUCUACAAGAAGUGAUGUGAUUUCCGUGGGUUCUAUUGCAUCAGAUAUUACUUGGAUGACUUCUCGAUGUCAUAACAGGAAUAAAAUUGCCUUUUUAAUGUUUGCUUUGCCUGUUGACACUUUAAACUAUUGUACUUAAUAUUGAAAAAGAAACUAACUGAAGAGAAACUGUCCAGUCCCAGAAUUUUUCUGUGGAUUUUUUCUACCUGAGUGGAGUUGCACUUUUCACAGAUUACCCCAGCAUCUGGGGUAAUGCCCACAACGAGUGAAGACCACUAAGAUUGCUUGUGUACAUGGCUUUCCUCUGCUAUGUGUUAUGGUGGUGAUCUGUAACUUACUGCAGCUUAUGGAUAACAGUACCAAGAAGACAGCGUGCUGUGGGCAGCAUCAUCCCUUGCGCGUCUUCUUGGCCUCAGUGUUAUCUUUGAAUGUGACUGAAUGUGGUGGUAAAAAUUCCUUUGGGCAAUAUUAUAUCCUAGAUUUCCCACCACUGAGUUAACACAUCCCAGUCUGGUUCUGUGAGAUUUUGACUUCAGUGUUGGUAACAUGCUAUUAUUUAGCACGAUGACAAGACUGACUUUACAUGUGGAGCCACCACACCUUCAGUUCUGAUAGAAACAUGCUGAUUUGUUAACAAAUGUGGAUCUGGUCCUGAGACUUUGUUCAGGAUGAAGGACUUGAUUCACCACUUUUAUUGCCUCAGUUACAUUACCAUGUCUCCACUGACUUUCAUCUCACCUGGGAUAUGCAAUUCUGCAACAGUACAUAUCCUUGAAAGCUGAAUUUAAAGUGCGCUUAAAUAUUAAGUAAAUUAAUCUUACAUUUUUGUUGCAAAUGUACAAUCCUACCUAUUAAUUUUGGUUAUUGCAUUGUGUGAGUUACCAUGGUUGUUGGUCAGUAUACACUGGGUGGCAUUGGCUUUGAAAUUGUUUUCUGAAGUGCUCUUAUAAGCAACAUCAUCCAUAAUGCUCAGUUAUAGUUGGAUAGUAAUUGCCUGUCUAUGCAGUGUUCCUUUACAACAAUUUUCUCCUGUGUAGCUAUAUAUAUGUAGUCAUUACUGAAAAGUGUAAAUAAAGAAUCCUUUUAGUGGUGUAGUUUCCCUAGGUACCUACUGUGCUCUUAUUAUCUAAAACAUACUCCCCAUCUGUAGUUCUGUUCUAUUAAAGGAUAAAGACAUAAGUAUGAAUUAAAAAUUAAAAUGCUUGUUGUAGAUUGGAGAGCAAGGUCUAUUAGAAUAUAUCUGGCGCUAGGCUCACAGUACAGUAGAUAGAUUACACUGAGCACCAGUUAAGCAAGAGGAUGAAAAAUGAGUGAUUUUCAUCAUUCAGUUAAAUAUAGUGCUAAGUGGUAUGCGCUAGCAUUAAAAGCAAAUUACUUAGCACUUCACCAAUCACAGCAUGAGAGCAUUCCAUUGGAAGCAGUAUUUCCAGUGAUGCUCAGUCCUCAGUUUUAUUAAAUAAAUCAGCUGUUAAUGCUUAAGGAAGCAGUUGAAGACGUAUUGCUAUGAUAAUAAAAAGAUUGGAAAUGUAAAAAUA